rnacentral:rRNA from 1 species
CCUUGACAUCCAGAGAACUUAGCAGAGAUGCUUUGGUGCCUUCGGGAACUCUGAGACAGGUGCUGCAUGGCUGUCGUCAGCUCGUGUUGUGAAAUGUUGGGUUAAGUCCGCAACGAGCGCAACCCUUAUCCUUUGUUGCCAGCGGUUCGGCCGGGAACUCAAAGGAGACUGCCGGUGAUAAACCGGAGGAAGGUGGGGAUGACGUCAAGUCAUCAUGGCCCUUACGGCCAGGGCUACACACGUGCUACAAUGGCGCAUACAAAGAGAAGCGACCUCGCGAGAGCAAGCGGACCUCAUAAAGUGCGUCGUAGUCCGGAUUGGAGUCUGCAACUCGACUCCAUGAAGUCGGAAUCGCUAGUAAUCGUAGAUCAGAAUGCUACGGUGAAUACGUUCCCGGGCCUUGUACACACCGCCCGCCACACCAUGGGAGUGGGUUGCAAAAGAAGUAGGUAGCUUAACCUUCGGGAGGGCGCUUACCACUUUGUGAUUCAUGACUGGGGUGAAGUCGUAACAAGGUAGGCGUACGUGU